GCUCAGAGAUGAGCUUGUGCCUUCGGGAACUUAGAGACAGGUGCUGCAUGGCUGUCGUCAGCUCGUGUUGUGAAAUGUUGGGUUAAGUCCCGCAACGAGCGCAACCCUUAUCCUUUGUUGCCAGCGAUUUGGUCGGGAACUCAAAGGAGACUGCCAGUGAUAAACUGGAGGAAGGUGGGGAUGACGUCAAGUCAUCAUGGCCCUUACGAGUAGGGCUACACACGUGCUACAAUGGCGUAUACAGAGGGAAGCGAAGC
rnacentral:rRNA from 1 species